CAAAGAGAAGCAAUACCGCGAGGUGGAGCAAAACUCAAAAAACGGUCUCAGUUCGGACUGCAGGCUGAAACCCGCCUGCACGAAGUUGGAAUUGCUAGUAAUCGCGGAUCAGCAUGCCGCGGUGAAUACGUUCCCGGGUCUUGUACACACCGCCCGUCACACCAUGGGAGCCGGUAACACCCGAAGUCAGUAGUCUAACCCUCGUGGAGGACGCUGCCGAAGGUGGGAUUGGCGACUGGGGUGAAGUCGUAACAAGGUAGC
rnacentral:rRNA from 1 species